UGGAUAUUCCCUUGCACCAAAUAUAGUAGAUCCAACUCGAACAUUUGGUGCAAGGGAAUAUCCAACGAAGUAGUCAUCGAACUAGGUUGAUGAACCCAGUUUAGUGAAGAGAGCUUGAGCCAAACAUGUACCUUAAGAUUUUGCAGCUUCAUGUCGGAAUAUGAGUGUUUGUACGAUGCCACUAUGGACCUCAUUGGCUAUGUGGCUACAAUAUCCUGUCUGUAUUCUAUCUAUUAUUACUGCUGAACAUAGUCUUGACUCUUGAGCUGCGAUCUCGAUGUUCAAUAGUAUUUUGGGAUUUGAUAGACUCUCGUCUAGAUGUACUAAUUGAUGAUAAUCUGUGAGAAUACUUUUGGUCCG
rnacentral:misc_RNA from 1 species